rnacentral:rRNA from 1 species
GAGUUUGAUCAUGGCUCAGAUUGAACGCUGGCGGCAGGCCUAACACAUGCAAGUCGAGCGGAUGACAGGAGCUUGCUCCUGAAUUCAGCGGCGGACGGGUGAGUAAUGCCUAGGAAUCUGCCUGGUAGUGGGGGACAACGUUUCGAAAGGAACGCUAAUACCGCAUACGUCCUACGGGAGAAAGCAGGGGACCUUCGGGCCUUGCGCUAUCAGAUGAGCCUAGGUCGGAUUAGCUAGUUGGUGAGGUAAUGGCUCACCAAGGCGACGAUCCGUAACUGGUCUGAGAGGAUGAUCAGUCACACUGGAACUGAGACACGGUCCAGACUCCUACGGGAGG